rnacentral:rRNA from 1 species
UACGGGGGGGGUAAGCGUUGUUCGGAAUUACUGGGCGUAAAGGGCUCGUAGGCGGCCAACUAAGUCAGACGUGAAAUCCCUCAGCUUAACUGGGGAACUGCGUCUGAUACUGGAUGGCUCGAGUUUGGGAGAGGGAUGCGGAAUUCCAGGUGUAGCGGUGAAAUGCGUAGAUAUCUGGAGGAACACCGGUGGCGAAGGCGGCAUCCUGGACCAACACUGACGCUGAGGAGCGAAAGCCAGGGGAGCGAACAGG